AUUGAACGCUGGCGGCAGGCCUAACACAUGCAAGUCGAGCGGUAGAGAGGUGCUUGCAUCUCUUGAGAGCGGCGGACGGGUGAGUAAUGCCUAGGAAUCUGCCUAGUGGUGGGGGAUAACGUUCGGAAACGGACGCUAAUACCGCAUACGUCCUACGGGAGAAAGCGGGGGAUCUUCGGACCUCGCGCCAUUAGAUGAGCCUAGGUCGGAUUAGCUAGUUGGUGAGGUAAUGGCUCACCAAGGCGACGAUCCGUAACUGGUCUGAGAGGAUGAUCAGUCACACUGGAACUGAGACACGGUCCAGACUCCUACGGGAGGCAGCAGUGGGGGAAUAUUGGACGAAUGGGCGAAAGCCUGAUCCAGCCAUGCCGCGUGUGUGAAGAAGGUCUUCGGAUUGUAAAGCACUUAAGUUGGGAGGAAGGGCAGUAAGUUAAUACCUUGCUGUUUGACGUUACC
rnacentral:rRNA from 1 species